GGCCCUGUGAAAUGUCUCAUGUGAGAUUGGCUGCUGCUUGUGGAUAUUUGAAGCUUGCUGAACAUCCUGCAUAUCACGAAUAUCUUAACAUAAACUGUUUUCAAAACUUGAUUUCCAUUAUAAAGGUAUGUUUAGUAGAUUGAAAUUGUCGCCUUCUUGGUUGAUUUUAAAACACACUAUCGAGCUACAUAUUCUUCAUUUCUGGUCGUAUUCAGCUACAUAUUCUUCAUUUCUUGUUUUAUUGAACUACAUAUUCUUCAUUUCUGGUCGAACUGAGCAUAUUUUUCGUGUCGACCAGUAUUGAGCUACAUAUUCUUCAUUUCUGGUCGUAUUGAGCUACAUAUUCUUCAUUUCUGGUCAUAUUGAGCUACAUAUUCUUCAUUUCUGGUCGUAUUGAGCUACAUAUUCUUCAUUUCUGGUCGUAUUGAGCUACAUAUUCUUCAUUUCUGGUUGUAUUGAGCUAUAUAUUCUUCAUUUCUGGUCUUAUUGAGCUAUGUACGGUACAUAUUCUUCAUUUCUGGUCGUAUUGAGCUACAUAUUCUUCAUUUCUGGUCUUAUUGAGCCAGAUACCGUAAAACUAUUCGUAAUAUACGGUAACUGUUUGAAUGGUUUAACAUACCAGGAAAUAAAAAGUUAAUUCAACCUCUUCACUGUAACGACUAAAUUACUUUAAGCUUCAGAAUGAUUUAGAAUCAAUGAAGAUGGCGCCCAAUAACACGUUAUGACGUCGUAGUUUGCAAAGAAAACUGCCAAACAUUACUUCGCUCUCAGUUAAUAUUCCAUGUGCAAUGGACCAAUCCCCAAUUAACCAAAAUUUUGAUCUAAACAAGUCCGCUCUUUCAUGCUGUGAUGAAAUUUUGUCUAUCACAAAAUUAGUAAUAUUCCAAAGUUUCGUUGCGAAAUGUUGUAAAAUGCGGAUAAUAUAGCCUUGCGAAGUUUGUAAUUUUCAGUCAUUUUGUAUUACGCACGGAAGUGGUAACCAUUUCCCGUUUGUAAUCUAAAAUGACUGAAAAUUGCAAACUUUGCAAGGCUAUAUUAUCCGCAUUUUACAACAUUUUGCUAUGAAACUUUGGAAUAUUACUAAUUUUGUGAUGCUCUUUCAAGCUGUGAUGACAUUUUUGUCUAGACUUGUUGUGUUCAAAAUUUUGGUUAAUUGAGGGGAUGGGUACAUUAGUGGCAUGUUUGAUCUAAGGCUAAGCGUGGUAAACUAAUUGACUUGGUACCACUGAUGCUCGGUAUUAAAUAUGACUGAAAUCUGGAGCUUGUUCAAUAUUGUUCCGGACGAGUUCGCUGCCGUGUGUAAAACUACCACGGUUCUAUUUGUUUGGACGGGAUCAUCCUUGAACCUUGUUACCUGGCAUUAUGGAACUUAGUUCAGAGUUAAUUUAGACGAUUUUUAUAUAUUAAUUUUACUAAAUUGAAUUAUAAUAUAGCAUUUGUAAAUUCUGAACGCUGAUUGGCUAAGAGCCGUGUUGAUAUAACUCCAUGUCAACACGGGAAAUUUUCCGCCGCUUGUAAACACGGAAAUUUUUCUUAUUCUUCGGGCUUUUGGCAUUGCUAUAUUAUAAAACAAAUAUAAAACAUUUUUUCCGUAUUGAUAUAUAGUUAUAUCAACACUUGUGGAAGUUGGGAAAACUCGAAAUUGUAUGAAAACACUCCGCCCUUCGGGCGUCGUGUUUCCACACAAUUUCUCGUUUUCCCAAUUUCCACUCGUGUUGAUAUAACUGUAUAUCAACACGGAAAAUGUUUUAUAUUUAACAAAUAAAAACGUGAGAACAGGUGGAACCGUACAAUCUUUCGUUACCUUCCUCCGUAUUGCCAGAACCAGCCGAUAAUAUAGAGCGUUUGCACUCAUUCCCCAGGGACCAACUCAAUAAAAGCCAUGUUGGUGUUCCAGACAAAAGAGUCUAAUUAAAAUUCUUUUGACGGCUGUGACGUCAUGUGCAAACGCUCUAUAAGGAACUAUAGCAGAAAACAAAAAAAGAAAGGAAAAAUGAAGGCGUCUUGAAAAAUAUGGACUAAAACAAGACGUAAUUUUUUUUAAAGAUGUUUUUAUUUUUGGGUUUUGUUUUAUUCUUUAGUGUGAAACAGUCAUGACUGAUUCUUGGAAAAUGAGAUAUCGUUUCGGAUGUCAUGUUCUCGCUGUCUGUUUCUCUAUUAUUACGCAUCAUUUUUCAUGGCUGUAAGAGGCGCUCUGUACAAGUAACUCACCGAUAUGUUUCAAUGUUUUCUAGGACACGUGCAGUCAAGUUCGAGAAAAAAUUGCUAAGAAGUUAUCAAAAGGACUGGAUUCCCUAAAAUUGCCAUUGGAAUAUCUCGCAUUGUUUUCAUUUUAUGGCAAAGAAACGUCGAAGGAUAUAAGACAACAAG